GACGAACGCUGGCGGCGUGCCUAAUACAUGCAAGUAGAACGCUGAAGCGAGGAGCUUACUCUUCUUGGAUGAGUUGCGAACGGGUGAGUAACGCGUAGGUAACCUGCCUUGUAGCGGGGGAUAACUAUUGGAAACGAUAGCUAAUACCGCAUAACAAUGGAUGACACAUGUCAUUUAUUUGAAAGGGGCAAUUGCUCCACUACAAGAUGGACCUACGUUGUAUUAGCUAGUAGGUGAGGUAAUGGCUCACCUAGGCGACGAUACAUAGCCGACCUGAGAGGGUGAUCGGCCACACUGGGACUGAGACACGGCCCAGACUCCUACGGGAGGCAGCAGUAGGGAAUCUUCGGCAAUGGGGGCAACCCUGACCGAGCAACGCCGCGUGAGUGAAGAAGGUUUUCGGAUCGUAAAGCUCUGUUGUAAGUCAAGAACGGGUGUGAGAGUGGAAAGUUCACACUGUGACGGUAGCUUACCAGAAAGGGACGGCUAACUACGUG
rnacentral:rRNA from 1 species